UCCGGUUGAUCCAGAUUUUUCUCGUACGAAUGCAAUCGCUAAUUCUCUCAUUUCCGUAAUACCAUUCAGCAUUGUAACAUUUAUAAUACGCGUAGAGAGGAUCGUCACUCUCACGAUAUUCGUCCAGCUCUAACUCGUUCGCGUUUUCUCAAUUACCGAGCUCGCAAACGGGGACAAGCGGAAGGAGACACUCCCGAGGAACGAGGAAGAAAACGAGAAGACGUCUGUCAAGCUCGCUCACGCGCGCAGCCACCUAUGCACGUGCAUAAAAGCGAUCUCGCUUCGUCAGUCAGUGCGCUUCCACGUGCUUGCUGCACUCGGGCAUAUGAAUCUUGCGCCGAGAUUGGCGCGUCGCCAGGACCUCGUUGCCCGCGGUGGAAAAGGCGCGAAACAUCUAAGAAUAACGCCGCGCCGAACUAAAUUGAUAUCCUCCGACACGCGUGAAUGCCGCACCUCGGAUGAGGAGCCCGCGAAAGGAGUCUCGCGUCGCCGAUGCAGCGAGAGGUCUCGAUGGAUCGCAGGAGGAUGGGGACCAACGGAGCGAGCACUCUACGCGAGACCGACGCGACGAGAGAGAGAGAGAGAGAAGAGGGCAACGUCAAUUCGCGGCAGCACGUGCAGCCGCGUAAGAACGACCUUGGGGGUCAGUGCUCUCCUCUCGCGUAAGCAGGCCAUAGUACAUAGUACGUUGACGCGAAUCGAUCGCGUCUCUCUCUCUCUCUCUUCUCUCUCUCCCAUUGAGAUAGGCGACGCGACGUCGAUAAAGGAGCGUGGAGAAGAGAAGGGGUAAAACGCGACGCGGCAAAGGGAGGCAGAGGGAUUCCUCUCCGCGUCGUCGUAUUGAGCGCGACGCCUCCGCUUAGGGGAGAGUUUGGGCGUGGAUCUCUUUGGGGUGAAAGUACUCCCGCGCUUUUCCAGGUGGCAUGUCUCCGAGUCCUUUUUUUCCUCCGGACUCUCCCGGGAGCUCACAUCGACGGAUUUCAGGAUUAUUAAGAUAUGUCAAUCGUAAUUAAUAUAAAUCAAUGAGUUUUCUUAACUUUAA